AACUGAUACUACCUGCGGGAACCUGCGGAGGGAUCAUUAAAGAGUUGCAAGACUCCCAAACCAUUGUGAACGUUACCCACACCGUUGCUUCGGCGGGCGGCCCGGGCCCUGCCCGGCGCCCCCCGGCCCCUCGCGGGCGCCCGCCGGAGGUAAACCAAACUCUUGAAUUGUAUGGCCUCUCUGAGUCUUCUGUACUGAAUAAGUCAAAACUUUCAACAACGGAUCUCUAGAUCGGAAGAG
rnacentral:misc_RNA from 1 species